GUCUGAUUGUAUUUCCAUGAAGAAAUGACCUCAGUAGAUCAUGGUGUAGUUCCAUUUCAUAACAAAACCUCAUUGGAAAAUUAGCUGAUUUAACUUUACUGUGCUCUUGUUCAAAUAUAUUACAUAUAUCCAUACCUGUUAACAAAAUAAUGAUUUUACUGAUAAUUCGGCUCAAUAAAAACACCUUUACCUUUUCAUUUUACUACAGUAGAAGUUUAUUGGCCCAGCUUAUAGACUACAGAAGUGGAGAAACGCCCCCACUUAAGUUUAUGUUUUCUUAGGAGUUAGAACAACUCUGAAUAUAGUACUAUGUCUGUGACCCUAUAUGUCCUGUUGAUGAAGUUAGGUGCUGUUCUGAGCAUUAUUUGUGGCUAUAGAGUGGCGUUUUGGUUGAGGGCGUGGCUCUCUGUAUUUCUAUCCUGCGGUCGUUACUAAAGUUGGUAUAACUAGGGAAGAAAGCGGUCGGCAACAUUCAUCUCUGGAGGGGGGGUCUAACUCGAUGUUACGCUGUGUUUCACCCUAAAUUAAUUUU